UUAAGCGACUAAGCGUACACGGUGGAUGCCCUGGCAGUCAGAGGCGAUGAAGGACGUGCUAAUCUGCGAUAAGCGUCGGUAAGGUGAUAUGAACCGUUAUAACCGGCGAUUUCCGAAUGGGGAAACCCAGUGUGUUUCGACACACUAUCAUUAACUGAAUCCAUAGGUUAAUGAGGCGAACCGGGGGAACUGAAACAUCUAAGUACCCCGAGGAAAAGAAAUCAACCGAGAUUCCCCCAGUAGCGGCGAGCGAACGGGGAGGAGCCCAGAGCCUGAAUCAGUGUGUGUGUUAGUGGAAGCGUCUGGAAAGGCGCGCGAUACAGGGUGACAGCCCCGUACACAAAAAUGCACAUAUUGUGAGCUCGAUGAGUAGGGCGGGACACGUGGUAUCCUGUCUGAAUAUGGGGGGGACCAUCCUCCAAGGCUAAAUACUCCUGACUGACCGAUAGUGAACCAGUACCGUGAGGGAAAGGCGAAAAGAACCCCGGCGAGGGGAGUGAAAAAGAACCUGAAACCGUGUACGUACAAGCAGUGGGAGCACAGAGCAAUCUGUGUGACUGCGUACCUUUUGUAUAAUGGGUCAGCGACUUAUAUUCUGUAGCAAGGUUAACCGAAUAGGGGAGCCGAAGGGAAACCGAGUCUUAACUGGGCGUUAAGUUGCAGGGUAUAGACCCGAAACCCGGUGAUCUAGCCAUGGGCAGGUUGAAGGUUGGGUAACACUAACUGGAGGACCGAACCGACUAAUGUUGAAAAAUUAGCGGAUGACUUGUGGCUGGGGGUGAAAGGCCAAUCAAACCGGGAGAUAGCUGGUUCUCCCCGAAAGCUAUUUAGGUAGCGCCUCGUGAAUUCAUCUCCGGGGGUAGAGCACUGUUUCGGCAAGGGGGUCAUCCCGACUUACCAACCCGAUGCAAACUGCGAAUACCGGAGAAUGUUAUCACGGGAGACACACGGCGGGUGCUAACGUCCGUCGUGAAGAGGGAAACAACCCAGACCGCCAGCUAAGGUCCCAAAGUCAUGGUUAAGUGGGAAACGAUGUGGGAAGGCCCAGACAGCCAGGAUGUUGGCUUAGAAGCAGCCAUCAUUUAAAGAAAGCGUAAUAGCUCACUGGUCGAGUCGGCCUGCGCGGAAGAUGUAACGGGGCUAAACCAUGCACCGAAGCUGCGGCAGCGACACUGUGUGUUGUUGGGUAGGGGAGCGUUCUGUAAGCCUGUGAAGGUGUACUGUGAGGUAUGCUGGAGGUAUCAGAAGUGCGAAUGCUGACAUAAGUAACGAUAAAGCGGGUGAAAAGCCCGCUCGCCGGAAGACCAAGGGUUCCUGUCCAACGUUAAUCGGGGCAGGGUGAGUCGACCCCUAAGGCGAGGCCGAAAGGCGUAGUCGAUGGGAAACAGGUUAAUAUUCCUGUACUUGGUGUUACUGCGAAGGGGGGACGGAGAAGGCUAUGUUGGCCGGGCGACGGUUGUCCCGGUUUAAGCGUGUAGGCUGGUUUUCCAGGCAAAUCCGGAAAAUCAAGGCUGAGGCGUGAUGACGAGGCACUACGGUGCUGAAGCAACAAAUGCCCUGCUUCCAGGAAAAGCCUCUAAGCAUCAGGUAACAUCAAAUCGUACCCCAAACCGACACAGGUGGUCAGGUAGAGAAUACCAAGGCGCUUGAGAGAACUCGGGUGAAGGAACUAGGCAAAAUGGUGCCGUAACUUCGGGAGAAGGCACGCUGAUAUGUAGGUGAAGUCCCUCGCGGAUGGAGCUGAAAUCAGUCGAAGAUACCAGCUGGCUGCAACUGUUUAUUAAAAACACAGCACUGUGCAAACACGAAAGUGGACGUAUACGGUGUGACGCCUGCCCGGUGCCGGAAGGUUAAUUGAUGGGGUCAGCGCAAGCGAAGCUCUUGAUCGAAGCCCCGGUAAACGGCGGCCGUAACUAUAACGGUCCUAAGGUAGCGAAAUUCCUUGUCGGGUAAGUUCCGACCUGCACGAAUGGCGUAAUGAUGGCCAGGCUGUCUCCACCCGAGACUCAGUGAAAUUGAACUCGCUGUGAAGAUGCAGUGUACCCGCGGCAAGACGGAAAGACCCCGUGAACCUUUACUAUAGCUUGACACUGAACAUUGAGCCUUGAUGUGUAGGAUAGGUGGGAGGCUUUGAAGUGUGGACGCCAGUCUGCAUGGAGCCGACCUUGAAAUACCACCCUUUAAUGUUUGAUGUUCUAACGUUGACCCGUAAUCCGGGUUGCGGACAGUGUCUGGUGGGUAGUUUGACUGGGGCGGUCUCCUCCUAAAGAGUAACGGAGGAGCACGAAGGUUGGCUAAUCCUGGUCGGACAUCAGGAGGUUAGUGCAAUGGCAUAAGCCAGCUUGACUGCGAGCGUGACGGCGCGAGCAGGUGCGAAAGCAGGUCAUAGUGAUCCGGUGGUUCUGAAUGGAAGGGCCAUCGCUCAACGGAUAAAAGGUACUCCGGGGAUAACAGGCUGAUACCGCCCAAGAGUUCAUAUCGACGGCGGUGUUUGGCACCUCGAUGUCGGCUCAUCACAUCCUGGGGCUGAAGUAGGUCCCAAGGGUAUGGCUGUUCGCCAUUUAAAGUGGUACGCGAGCUGGGUUUAGAACGUCGUGAGACAGUUCGGUCCCUAUCUGCCGUGGGCGCUGGAGAACUGAGGGGGGCUGCUCCUAGUACGAGAGGACCGGAGUGGACGCAUCACUGGUGUUCGGGUUGUCAUGCCAAUGGCACUGCCCGGUAGCUAAAUGCGGAAGAGAUAAGUGCUGAAAGCAUCUAAGCACGAAACUUGCCCCGAGAUGAGUUCUCCCUGACUCCUUGAGAGUCCUGAAGGAACGUUGAAGACGACGACGUUGAUAGGCCGGGUGUGUAAGCGCAGCGAUGCGUUGAGCUAACCGGUACUAAUGAACCGUGAGGCUUAACCUU
rnacentral:rRNA from 1 species